AACUUCCUCGUUUGUUAUUUUCAAUUGUUUUCAUACAAAGAAAUGACAAAAAACUUAAACAACUCUAAACAUAUUGUUAGAAUAUAACAUCAGUAGGAGAGAUCUAGAAGCAUAUGUAGAAGCAUAUUUGUCAUGAAAAUAUUUAAAGGUAUGCAUGGUAUUUCCUGAUAAACUAUAAUUUGAGAUAUAAGUAUGUGCCAGUGUCGAAGAGAUUGUUUGCUGGACAAAAGAUCACACUCUAGAAGCAAAGUAGUUAUGGUGCCUCCAGCAAUUACAACCAACAGUCAAGGGAAUAAAACUUGUAACAAUUUUAUUUUAUUUAAUCAACAGGAGGUACAUAAUUAAUAGUCUUGGUGGGACAAAAGAAAGAAUUCAUAAAUAAAAACAUGAAUAUAUUAUUAUUAACAUCUAUGGAAAGGUCUUCUGACUAAAGACAAUAUAGUUAAAUGAACAAUUUUUAAACUGUUUUAGAUAAACUUCAUAUAAGGUGAUGAAGAAGAAGAAAAAAUCAAAGGAGAAGGAGAAACAUUCAUUUAUUGAUUGCUCAUUUACCAGUUUGGCGAGCAGAAGAGAGGGCUACAGCUCCCACCACCCACCGCUCAGAGAGCAGGAGCAUUACAGCUCUUUCACUCCUACAGUUCGGUGAGUUCCAGGUUUUUGUCCUGUGGCCAAGAGGAAUAAGGUACAAGACCACUGGAGAGUGAGUAAGGCAGAGCAGAAUUUUACCGAACAACAGAAAGAAAACUCUUGGCAACUAGAGGGGACCCAAAAGUGGGUCAGUGUCUUUGAGACUGAAUCCAGGAUUUUUAUGGGGGAGUGUAUGCUGAUUGGUCCAUAGUCGGUCUUGGAAAAAGCACCAUUCAAUUUGUUAAAAGGCAUAAUUCAGAAGGAACUAAUACAGUGAGAGUGGGUAAGACAGGGAUAGAAGUUCUCACUCCGGUUGUGGACUCUAUCUGAAAUGGACAGCUCAUUUUUCAGGCUUUACACUGUCUUGGCUUGAAGGUCGGGUUUUACCAGGGACCUAUCCCUGUCUCCCUAAGAAUUUGUCUGUCUCCUGUCACUACCAAUAAUAUAGUAGUACAAUGUUUGCACUAUAUCUCAUUUUAGAACCAUAUUAACUUGGUUAGGAAUUUAAUGCCUAUAUUAUAACUUUUUUACAGAUAAUGAAGCCAAUUGUCAGAGAGAUUAAAUAACUUUAAUGCAUAUGUUUUAGACUGGAUGCAAACUCAAUUUUUUUAAUAUGACGUUCAUAUUAUUUUCAAUCUCUUUGGUUGCUUUCCAUAUAGCACCUUACAUAAUUCUAAACAUUUUUAUUAUAAUAAUUUAUGUUAUUCAUCAUAUAAAGUUGUUUGCUUUGUAUAUUAUGGAAAUAGUAUAUUAUAUUCAAAUAUAUAUUACAUUUGUAUAUAUUAGUAUAUUAUUUUCAAUUAGUAUAUUAUAUUCAAAUAUAUAUAUUUGAAGUAUUCUCCUAGAUACAAGGAAAAUUAAAGUCAAAGCAACCUAGCUCCUAACUAUGAAAAUUUCAAUAGGUUGUAUUGGUUAUUCCAUAAAAUACUUUUCUUUGAGAAAAAGAGAAUAGAAAUACAAUAAAUUAUCUAAAUAAUUAUUUCUAUUUAACCAAUAUUUCUAAAUAUGGGUUAGUGAAAAACCUUGUGCAGAUACUCCUAAGAAUACAAAAAUCAAGAGAAUACAAUCUUUGCCCUUAUGGAAUUUCCAGUCUACUGACUUAUAUUUUUAAUAUUUUUUCUGAAGUGUUUCCACAAACCCUAUUGUUGUCAUUCAGGUCUUAUUCAUCUCUUGCUUGGACAUUAAUAAGGUCUAAAUUGUUUUUUUUUUGUCUUAGCCUCAUUCUCUGCAAUAUAAUGGUGUCUGCAUCACCACCGUGCUCUAAAAUAAAACUACCAUGCAUAUAAAAUGGGUUGUAUUAAUGGUGAGUAUAAAGUCAUAGGGAAAAAGAUAAGUAUAGAAGACUUAACAUACUAGUGAAGUUAGGGAAAGAGGCAUAUAUGGUGGGAACUUUGAAAACAGGUUUGAAGGCAGAAGAGAAGUUUGUCAAGCAGAAAAUUCAGGAAAAAGCAUUUCUGAUAUGGGGCUGAGGGAUAAAGGCAGAUGAACUCGGUAGCCAUCAAGUCGUGCCAUUCAGAGUUCCUUCACAAAAGGACUUGCCACGUAAAGAACCUUUAGCUAAUAAUUUCCAUUUGCAGGGACUUUGGUCUCUGCCUCAGUGUUUAAGUUGAUGACGUGCCUUCCAACAUGGCAUAAGCCAAUGAUUUAGCGUAGGAAGAGCAGUAGGAAGUAGUUUUUUUUGCUCAGUGUGAUUCCCCUUUGAGCAAUCUUUACAAUGGAGUUUCCCACUGAGCUGGCUGAUACUUUCUCAGAGCUGCACCAUGGUUUGGAGCACUUUCUACCCAUUCUUUUUUUUAUCCCCUCCCAUUACACAAGUACCACCCUGAGACCAUGAUCUGAAGAUUGUCCUUUCCUUCUCCUGCUUUCUCUCCUUUAUCAUUCAUAGGUACUAACCCCAACAAAUCUCUUGGUCUUCUGAUGGUUGUGUCUUAUAUUUUCUGAAGAACGUAAACUUACAUACUGUAUUUAGGUAGAGAACUGAUUUUAAAAAAUCACAUAUUAUGUUAAGUACUUCCCUCUAAUUGGAGAACCCAUGCACUUAACUAACCAAACAAUUUCAGCACAGUGAGUUUAAUGCAAAUAUAAAUAGUACUGAGAAUUUACUUGGACACAAUGUUUGUUUCGACAAGUUUUGGUCUGUUUAAUUUUUCUGAAAUAGGACAUUUGUUAAGCAAGGGGGAUGCACAGAUGAGGAUGACACCUAUUGUGAAUGAGUGCAUAGUCUAAUGAUCCAGGGAAUGGGAGAUUUGAAAGACAUUAUUUAGACUUUGUAAGUGUCUACUGCCAUUGAGAAGUCUCUUGUGGAUGAAAAUUGUAGCCCUCAAAUUCAUGUCAUUUAGAAAAGGAAAGUUUGUCGUUUGAACCGAGGCACCAUCUCAUCAGGAGUCAAUAACAUCUUCAAAGUAAGAGGAUAUUAUGAUUAAUAGCUGAUUUGUUUGCUCAUCAUCAAGGACAAGAAUAUCCUAUCAGUAAAAGUCAAUAGGUUGAAAAUUCAGGAGGUUAGGCUGUGGGAAAUAAGAGGUUAAAAUAGUGGACAAACACAAUCCUAUUAAAUAAUUCUUGCUUUUAGCACUGGAAGCAAUUCAAUUGUUUAAAAAUUAUAUUAAGUCAUCAAGACGCUACUUAAUUAAACUUUAAUAUUAAGCAUUAAGAUUUAAGCAAAAAAUAUGAUUAAUCAAUUAGUUCAUCAUUACAGCUUAGAGUGAGCUUUUUGGUGUAACAAAGGCUUCUGAUGAAUACAUUAACAUUGGAUGAAUUUAUAAAUACAACUAUUUAGAUUUUUAGAAUAUUAAUGUUAUGCCUAUAAUAGAAAACAAAAAUAAUUACUAGAGAACAUCUUUGAGAAACAGUUGCAAUGGUGUAUGCAUUUCUAAUAAAUUACUUACAGUCUAUUAUGGAACUAUAUGCCUUUGAAGACUAUUAAAUCAGCAGGCUGCUAUGUAAUGAAAUUAUUUGAGGCAAAUUUUGACAACUGCCCUUAAAUGUUCCUCUUCCUUCCAAGAUGCAUCAUAUUUAUGGAUUAAAAAAGAAGUUGACUCAUAAGAAAACCCUUUUUCUUUUAUGUGUAAAACGAUUACAAUAAAACAUAUAUAAUAUGAAUGUAAUUAUAUUGCCAUCUGAAGCCUCUG
rnacentral:lncRNA from 1 species